CCGAGGGACCGGGCGAAGGCUGCGGGUCGUGCCUCAGCUGCUGCGCAUGCGUGUGUGGUGUUGGGUGAUGUCGGCGUUCUUCCUCUCCUUGUGUUUUCCGGCUCCUUGAUGCUCAAACUGUGCUGCAGGCACUUGUGGCAUCAGCAUCACCUGGGAACUAUUAGAAGUGUAGAGUUCCUGGUCCCAUUCCAGACCUGUUGAGCUAGAAUCUGCAUUCUCAGAUAAUUCCUGUUAUUGGAGUCAUGGUCUCAUGGAGAAAGGAAACUGGUUCCAAUUUAGUGUCAGUUCCAGGAUAAUCAUCCAGGGUAAUCACUUUCUCUGCCUGGCGGAGGAUGAUCCAUCUUGUGAAAGAUCAAAGAGUAAAUAUGUAGAAAGAUCUGAAGAACAUGUUGACAAGCUGGCUUGAAUCAUUUAAAUUAUUCGCACUUCUCUGUGGCUGGCAGAAGAACUUCUGCAAGCAAGAACAUAGCCGAAUGGCCCUAACAGUGAAAUAGAGUGACUCAGGAUUCCACAAAAGCUGAAGGAGAGUACACAGGACGAACACAUUUUCUGGAGGGAGCGGUAUUGGAAUCCCAAGGCGCUGGGCACGGCUCCUGAGGAAGAGACAGAACGUGAACGCGGGAGGGUCAGAGAGAGAGGGAGACACAGAAUCCGAAGCAGGCUCCAGACUCUGAGCUGUCAGCACAGAGCCCGACGCGGGGCUCAAACUUACGAACCGCAAGAUCAUGACCUGAGCCGAAGUCAGACGCCCAACCGACUGAGCCACCCAGGUGCCCCAUCCAUUUUAACAAAUAGAAGAGGAAUUAGAGUCUAACUGGUUCCCAGUAAUAGGGAUGGACCUAGUUUAUACUUUUAAAUUAUUUACAGCCUGCCAGCGCCCGUGGCUUUGGGUUAUUGAUGCUGCAAUAGUUCCAGUUGGUGACAGAAAGCCCUUUCCAGAAGACAGUGGCACUGUUAGCAGCAGAACUUGUGGCUGGCUCCUUCCAGCUCCCCCAAAUUUCUGGGGCACAGAGAAGCAUCACGCUGCCUUCAGCACAGCUCUUCCCUGGGAGAUGCUGGAGGGACAGUCUGCUGCCUUUGCCAGACUCAGGCCAUACUCUGCAAACUGGAGAGAUUCAAAGCUAGGGAGAUCUCCUGCUGCCUUGAGGACGCAAACUGCUGUGUCUGGAAAAGGCUGCCUGGCAGGGAAUAGCAGACAGCUUCUACGAGUUGGAAUGGCCCCCAGCUGAUGGCCAGCAAGAAGGCAAGGAACUGAAUCUUCCCAACAACCAGUGAACUUCGAAAAGGACUCCAAGCUUCAGAUCUCACCCAGAUGCCACCUGGGAGCCUGACUCCAGAGAGAUCUCCAUAAGGAAGCCAGAGACGCCUGAGCAGCCAUGGUGUGAGGCUUUUGGCCCUUGCCCAAAACUGGCGAUUUUACUUGUAGAAAUUGUACUUUAAAUUAAAGGCCUUUUGCUAGUCAAGGGAAAUAUCCAUAUCUGCACGUAUGCCAAGUGAAUCCGGAAAUUAAAACUGAUGUUUGGUGUUAGGGGAGCUCUGACUCGAGGGCAAAGAGAGAGAGGAUGCUUCUGAGACAUGCGAGGCCCUAAGACCAGCCUUUCGAGUUUGAGCUUCUGGCUCCCAGUGCUAAGGAUUUCCUGAUGGAAGGAUGUGUCACUGAGCCAACGAGGCCAGCAGGCUGCGACUCCUGAGCAAGGCAUCAGUUGCACAAGAGAACUUCCAGCUCUCCUAGCAGAUGCUGAAGACUCUGGUGGCACAAACUAACGGGUGUGGACCCUUCUCUACCUAGAGUAUGGUGUCAUACACCAUGGAGGACACCAAGAAGAUACAGUUGGGGGCAGAGGAGGAAGCAAGAAGACAGGUACAUCACAUGCCAAGAUUCUAACAAUUCGACAGAGAAAUGAUAUGUGCCACAAAGUGGCAGGGACUAUCCAAUAAGAAUCUCUGUAUCCAGGGGGCACCUGGGUGGCUCAGUCGGUGAAGCAUCUGACUCUUGAUUUUGGCUUAGGUCAUAAUCUCACUGUUCGUGAGUUCAAGCCGUGGGUUGGGCUCUGCGCUGACAGCGUGGAGCCUGCUUGGGAUUCUCUGUUUCCCUCUUUGUCUGUCUCUCCCUGAGCGCUCUCUCUCUCUCUCUCUCUCUCUCAAAAUAAAUCAAUAAAGUAAGAAAAAAAAGAAUCUCUUGGGGCACCUGGGUGGCUCAGUCCAUUAAGCAUCUGACUUUGGCUCAGGUCAUUGAUCUCACGGUUCGUGAGUUCAAGCCCCGCAUCGGGCUCUGCGCUGACAGCUCAGAGCCUGGAACCUGCUUCGGAUUCUAUGUCUCCCUCUGUCUCUCUGCCCCUCCCCUACUCACGCUC